CCUACGGGGUGCAGCAGUGAGGAAUAUUGGUCAAUGGGCGGGAGCCUGAACCAGCCAAGCCGCGUGAGGGAAGAAGGUACAGCGUAUCGUAAACCUCUUUUGUCAGGGAACAAAGUCGGGGACUAGUCCCCGGAUGAGGGUACCUGAAGAAAAAGCAUCGGCUAACUCCGUGCCAGCAGCCGCGGUAAUACGGAGGAUGCGAGCGUUAUCCGGAUUUAUGGGGUUUAAAGGGUGCGCAGGCGGCCUGUUAAGUCAGCGGUAAAAGCCCGGGGCAAAACCCCGGCGAGCCGUUGAAACUGGCGGGCUGGAGUUGGAGAGAAGUAGGCGGAAUGCGCGGUGUAGCGGUGAAAUGCUUAGAUAUCGCGCAGAACCCCGAUUGCGAAGGCAGCGUGCCGUGCCGCCACUGACGCUGAGGCACGAAAGCGCGGGGAUCGAACAGGAUUAGAUACCCGUGUAGUC
rnacentral:rRNA from 1 species